rnacentral:rRNA from 1 species
AUGGACCAGGGCGCGGUCGACGCGGUCACCAAAUGGCAAAUGCUCGUGCCGGCGCUCCCCGACGACCUCAGCAUACGUGUGGUAAUCCAAAAGAGUCAGGCCAACUUCCAGACCCUAUACCUCGGCAACUGUAGCACGGUGGUGGCGACGAUGCGCAGCAGUUUCCCGGAGCUCGGGGUGACAAGCGCGGACUGCAAGGAGAUGAGCUGGCUGCGGUACACGGCGUACAUAUACUUCGGCGAGGCCAUCAACAGCAAGCCACUGGAGGCGCUCCUCCUCAACCGGUCCACAACCUUAGGCCCCUUCGUUAAGAACAAGUCCGACUACGUCAAGAAAGCCCUCACCAAGGAGACCUGGAAGAAGAUCUUCCUCUGGCCCAACGGCACGGGGUCGGGGCAACUCAUCCUUGAGCCGCACGGCGGAAUAAUGGGCCGCAUCUCCGCCAACAAGAUCCCGUUCCCACACCGGAGCAACAUGCUCUACAACAUCCAAUACGUGGAGCUGUGGAAGGGCAAAGAGGCCGGGGGCGACAUUACACCGAACUGGAUUGGGAGCCUUUACGAGUUCAUGACGCCGUACGUGAGCAAGAACCCGAGGGGCGCCUACGUGAACUACCGGGACCUCGACAUGGGCGUGAACAAGGUGGUCGGUGGGGUCACGUGCUAUGAAACUGAAAAGGUGUGGGGCGAGAGCUAUUUCGGGCCGGCAAACUUCAGGAGACUCACCAAGAUCAAGCGCAAGGUGGACGCCAGCGACUACUUCCAGAACGAGCAGAGCGUGCCGCCACUUCCCUUGAAGUAG